rnacentral:rRNA from 1 species
CUACGGGACGCACCAGUGGGGAAUAUUGGACAAUGGGCGCAAGCCUGAUCCAGCAAUGUCGCGUGAAUGAUGAAGGCCUUAGGGUUGUAAAGUUCUUUCGGCGGGGAAGAAAUUGACGGUACCCGCAGAAGAAGCUCCGGCUAACUCCGUGCCAGCAGCCGCGGUGAUACGGGGGGAGCUAGCGUUUUUCGGAAUUACUGGGCGUAAAGGGCGCGUAGGCGGCCAAUAAAGUUGAAAGUGAAAGCCCCGGGCUUAACCUGGGAACUGCUUUCAAAACUCAUUGGCUAGAGGAUGAUAGAGGACAGUAGAAUUCCUAGUGUAGAGGUGAAAUUCUUAGAUAUUAGGAAGAAUACCAGAGGCGAAGGCGACUGUCUGGGUCAUAUCUGACGCUGAGGCGCGAAAGCGUGGGGAGCAAACAGGAUUAGAUACCCGCGUAGUC